rnacentral:rRNA from 1 species
CCUACGGGGUGCAGCAGUGGGGAAUAUUGGACAAUGGGCGAAAGCCUGAUCCAGCCAUGCCGCGUGUGUGAAGAAGGCCUUCGGGUUGUAAAGCACUUUCAGUGGGGAAGAAAGCCUUGGGGCUAAUACCCUCGAGGAAGGACAUCACCCACAGAAGAAGCACCGGCUAACUCCGUGCCAGCAGCCGCGGUAAUACGGAGGGUGCGAGCGUUAAUCGGAAUUACUGGGCGUAAAGCGCGCGUAGGCGGUCUGAUAAGCCGGUUGUGAAAGCCCCGGGAUCAACCUGGGAACGGCAUCCGGAACUGUCAGGCUAGAGUGCAGGAGAGGAAGGUAGAAUUCCCGGUGUAGCGGUGAAAUGCGUAGAGAUCGGGAGGAAUACCAGUGGCGAAGGCGGCCUUCUGGACUGACACUGACGCUGAGGUGCGAAAGCGUGGGUAGCAAACAGGAUUAGAUACCCUGGUAGUC